GUUUUCCUGCAAUAAAAACUAUAGAUCAAGAUGUUGUCUUUUUGACUAGAUAAAAGAUGUUUGUGUGACAUUUGGAAUCGACCAAACUUCAGUUGUGAUGAGCAUGAGGCCUGCAACUGUGACUGUAUACGACUAUUACGACCCAGAUAAGUCAGCUUCUUCACAGUACACCAUAACAAACGAUCUUUGUACAACACAACCAGGCGCUUAGCCUCAUUGGCCCCAAGCCCUCGGCAGAUAUAGAUCGCCAUUGUAUUAGAGUUGAUCUACCGCUACUUACUCUGAUUGCAUCAUAGGCUUAUUUUAUCAGACCCAAAUAGGCGGAACAACUUUUGCUUACAACCAUCGCAUGCGAACCUGCGUUUCAUGUCAUCCUUACUGAACGACUACAGCAAUUGUUUUUGACCAUUAUAAAAAAUCGUAGCUAUGUUAUAAGGAUGACUUACGCAGGUUGUAUGCGAUGGUUCUAGGCAAAAGUUGUGUUGUCCGAUUGCAGCCUUUACCAGCUGCAUGUAUUUUUAUGUUUUAACCGUUUUUGUAGAUUUCGCAAAUGUGGAGAAAUUAAAAGAAAGUGAUUAUAAAUUCUGAAAACAAGUUUUAAAAUUAUGGCGUA